rnacentral:rRNA from 1 species
AUUGAACGCUGGCGGCAGGCCUAACACAUGCAAGUCGAGCGGGGUUUUCGGACCUAGCGGCGGACGGGUGAGUAAUGCGUAGGAAGCUGCCCGAUAGAGGGGGAUACCAGUUGGAAACGACUGUUAAUACCGCAUAAUGUCUACGGACCAAAGUGUGGGACCUUCGGGCCACAUGCUAUCGGAUGCGCCUGCGUGGGAUUAGCUAGUUGGUGAGGUAAUGGCUCACCAAGGCGACGAUCUCUAGCUGGUUUGAGAGGAUGAUCAGCCACACUGGAACGGGGACACGGUCCAGGCUCCUACGGGAGGCAGCAGUGGGGAAUAUGGGACAAUGGGCGCAAGCCUGAUCCAGCCAUGCCGCGUGUGUGAAGAAGGCCUUCGGGUUGUAAAGCACUUUCAGCGAGGAGGAAGGGGUGUGUGUUAAUAGUACACACCUUUGACGUUACUCGCAGAAGAAGCACCGGCUAACUCUGUGCCAGCAGCCGCGGUAACAC